AACGAACGCUGGCGGCAGGCUUAACACAUGCAAGUCGAACGGGCGCGAGCAAUCGCGUCAGUGGCAGACGGGUGAGUAACACGUGGGAACCUUCCUUAAGGUACGGGACAACUCAGGGAAACUUGAGCUAAUACCGUAUACGUCCGAGAGGAGAAAGAUUUAUCGCCUUUAGACGGGCCCGCGUCGGAUUAGCUAGUUGGUGGGGUAACGGCCUACCAAGGCGACGAUCCGUAGCUGAUCUGAGAGGAUGAUCAGCCACACUGGGACUGAGACACGGCCCAGACUCCUACGGGAGGCAGCAGUGGGGAAUCUUGGACAAUGGGCGCAAGCCUGAUCCAGCCAUGCCGCGUGAGUGAAGAAGGCCUUAGGGUUGUAAAGCUCUUUUGUCCAGGGACGAUAAUGACGGGUACCUGGAGAAUAAGCCCCGGCAAACUUCGUGCCAGCCGCCGCAGUAAU
rnacentral:rRNA from 1 species